AUUUAAAUUAAACCUGUUUAAAGUAAAUACAUCAUAUAUUAUAUUCAUCCAUAUUCAUUAAAUACAACAUAAACCAGUUCAAUAGGAAAUUAAAUCUGAUUUAUUCACAUUAAGUCUAUUUAAUCGUUUCACUGGAAUUCAUUGGAUCCACCUGAAGCCACUCUUUCAUUCCUGAACCAGCAGACCUCGUGCUGAUGAAUGGACCGAGUUUGGUAUUCUCUCUUUGGAUUUACUUUGUGAAAACCAGGGCAACCUCUUAAUAGUUUGUGUGAAUGUGGGAGUGUAAACUUUGUGACAUAUCACCAGUAUCAAGCAGGUAUUGAGCUCAGCGUUAUUCUUGUAAUUUAGUGCUC